UAAGGGAUAGUAUAAAACUAAUUAUAUAAAGCUGUUAACUUUAAGAUGUGCUGUAAUAGCACUCUCUUAG
rnacentral:tRNA from 1 species